CUGAUUUUUCUGGUUUUAGGGUCUGCUUCAAAUUUUUUUAGCUCAAGAUGUAUAUGUCUUGCUCGCUAGCCCACUUCAUAUAUAGUCUUCUCCUGGGCUUUUGGUUUUCGUACACACCAUGUGUACUUCAUAUAACAAGUUUAAGGUUUUAUAGUAACGAGGUUGGGAAGGAAGCCUAAUAAUGCUAGGCAUCCUUUGGUUUUCUUACAGGCACGAGGAUCUGUUGCAGACUACACUCAAAUGUUGAAAGUUUGCGUACAUGUUAAUAGACGAAAGAAACGCAUCAGAUUCUUUCAUGGGAAAGUUCAUGUACAUGUAUGUAUUCAUGUACAAGGAACCAAGAUUACCAGCAAUCAUCAUCUCCAAGGAGGAGGUUUCAUGAUGGGAUUCAUUUCUACUUCUACAGCUAUGUCCCAUAGAUGGCCGAACUUAUCAGCUUCUCUUACAAUCUGAAUGCCAUCUAGACGAGGAAGGAGUGCUGCUAUGAUUAUACCAAGCAAGCACACCCAAAAAGAUCCCUCCCCCGUCAUGUUGAAGAUUGCCCUGUCAGAUUACGUCCCAGUUGCAAGCAUUAGUCAGUCCAUCUAUACAUUACUUUUUUUUGUGAGCUUAACUGAAGGGAGAAUUUAUACGGGUAAUAUCUACAUCUGUGGAAGAGAAGAGGACAUACCAGUAGCCAACAAACAUAGGAAUGGCAUUGAGGAUCAUGACACAAAUGGAAGUUGCAGCAGCUAUAGAUCCCCAAAUAACUGCAUAAAAAACCCAAUUCCAUUAGGUGAUGUCCAUGGCCAAGUGCAGAUUAACCAGAAUAUCCACUUUUUGGAGCUAACAAGGUGACGCCCUGGUUGUCCUGCAAAUUUAUCUUUUGAUCAGCAUUCCAAGGGCUAAUACAUAAUAUUUUAAACGUAUUUGGGGUGGCCUGAGAGCUGUGCAACUCUUAACCCAAACACAGGCGGCGUUAAUUUUUAUUUUUUUUUUCCUAUUGGACUUUUCUAGGCCUGUUCCUUAUUUGCUGAAAUCUAUCCACCAUUUCUUAAAAAUGAAAAAAAAAUUGGUUUUGUUUUA